rnacentral:rRNA from 1 species
AUCAACGCUGGCGGCGCGCUUAACACAUGCAAGUCGAGCGAGAAGAAAGGGGAGCAAUCCCCGAGUUAAAGGCGGCGCACGGGGUGAGUAACACGUGGGGGAUCUACCUCUUUGUGGGGAAAUAACUCUGGGAAAACCGGAGCUAAUACCGCAUAAGCCUGGGAAAGGGAAAGCCGAAAGGCGCAGAGAGAGAGGACCCCGCGGCCGAUAUAGCUAGUUGGUGAGGGGUAACGGCCUCACCAAGGCGAAGAUCGGUAGCCGGCCUGAGAGGGCACACGGCCACACUGGCACUGAAACACGGGCCAGACUCCUACGGGAGGCAGCAGUGGGGAAUCUUGCACAAUGGGGGGGAAACCCUGAUGCAGCGACGCCGCGUGAGCGAUUGAAGCCCUUCGGGGCGUAAAGCUCUUUCGGCCCGAAACGAUAAUGACGGUACGGGAAGAAGAAGCUGCGGCUAACUACGUGCCAGCAGCCGCGGGUAAUACGUAGGCAGCAAGCGUUUGUUCGGAGUUACUGGGGCCGUAAAGAGUGCGUAGGCGGUUGGUCGAAAGUUCUGCGUGAAAUCUCCCGGCGUAACUGGGGAGGGUGCGCCGAAAAACUGCGAUGCUGGAGUGUGGGAAAAGGCAAAGCGGAAUUCCUGGUGUAGCGGUGAAUGAAAUGCGUAGAUAUCAGGAGGAACACCGGCGGUGUAGACGGCUUGCUGGACCCAUAACUGACGCUGAGGCACGAAAAAGCGGUGGGGUAGCAAACAGGAUUAGAUACCCUGGUAGUCCACGCCCUAAACGAUGCAUACUUGGUGUGGGCAGUUCAUUCUGUCCGUGGCCGGAGCUAACGCGGUUAAGUAUGCCGCCUGGGGAGUACGGUCGCAAGGCUGAAACUCAAAGGAAUUGACGGGGGGCCCGCACAAGCGGUGGAGCAUGUGGUUUAAUUCGACGCAACGCGAAGAAACCUUACCUGGGCUCGAACGGCUUCUCAACGGCCUGUGAAAGCAGGUUAUCCCGCAAGGGAGUGGAGUCGAGGUGCUGCAUGGCUUGUCGUCAGCUCGUGUCGUGAGAUGUUGGGUUUAAGUCCCGCAACGAGCGCAACCCUUGUCCCGUGUUGCCAUGCCGAAAGGCGGCACUCUCGGGAGACCGCCAGCGAUAAGCUGGAGGAAGGUGGGGGAUGACGUCAAGUCAUCAUGGCCUUUAUGUCCAGGGCUACACACGUGCUACAAUGGACGGUACAAAACGCCGCAAACCCGCGAGGGGGGAGCAAAAUCGUAGAAAAACCGUUCUCAGUUCGGAUUGCAGGCUGCAACCCGCCUGCAUGAAGCUGGAAUCGCUAGUAAUGGUAUAUCAGAACGAUACCGUGAAUACGUUUCCCGGGCCUUGUACACACCGCCCGUCACAUCACGAAAGUGGGUUGUACUAGAAGUCUGCGCGCUAACCCGCAAGGGAGGCAGCGGCCCAAGGUAUGACUCAUGAUUGGGGUG